UACGGGGGGGGCAAGCGUUGUUCGGAAUUACUGGGCGUAAAGGGUUUGUAGGUGGCUUGCUAAGUCAGACGUGAAAUCCCUCAGCUUAACUGGGGAACUGCGUCUGAGACUGGCAAGCUUGAGUGCAGGAGAGGAACGCGGAAUUCCAGGUGUAGCGGUGAAAUGCGUAGAUAUCUGGAGGAACACCGGUGGCGAAGGCGGCGUUCUGGACUGUAACUGACACUGAGGAACGAAAGCCAGGGGAGCAAACGGG
rnacentral:rRNA from 1 species